CAGCCAGAACUAUCUGAUGAGACUGUCUCAAAAACUAAAACAACAACAAUAAAAAAAAUCAUUGUGAAAUAUAGUAUAUGCAAAAAGCCUGACCUUAGAGCACCAGCCUGGCUCCUCUCUAACCUGCCUUUUCCCCACCUAAGCCUCAUGUUCUUGCUUUGUAAGAAGGGGCUGACACCACCAAGCGUGGACAUAUACCUGCAAUCCCCUCCUGAGGGGGCCAAGCCAGAGUAUCAUGAGUUACAGAUCAGCUUGAGCUACAGAGAGGAAUCGUGGCUCGGAAAAAAAGAGAUGAGAAGAGAUAACAAGUCCUCCUUUGUGAACUUUGGGAGACUGCUGACAGACUCCAAAUAGGUGCUGAAGACCUAUCAAUCAAUAGACUCUGAACUGCUAUGCAUGCGUUUUUAGAUGAUGAUGAUGAUGAUGACGAUGAUGGUGAUGGUGAUGAUGAUGAUGGUGGUGGUGAUGAUGAUGAUGAUGAUUUUGCAGUGUUGGGGGUCACGCCUGGUACUCAGGCAUACCAGGUUACCAAGUCAGCUGAGACUCUGAUCCAGAACUUUCUCAUUCUGGCCUUAAAAGAACAAUCCAUUACAUUGAUCUUGAAGCCAAGGAGAUGAAAGAAAAUAGACCAAACGAGGAAAUUACGUGAUAUAGCUCUAUCAAAUGUGGGCAAAUCAUUUCUGUACAUGUUGUGCAAGUCAGUCAAAUCAUGAGACCAGGGCCACUGUCUGUGGGGCUAGGAUAUGCUUUACCAACCUGGAAUGUUGUCAUGGUGGGGUGAGUAUGUACAUGUGCGUGUGUGCAUGUGUGUGUGUGUAUGAGAGAGAGAGAGAGAGAGAGAGAGAGAGAAUAUUGGAUUUAGCCUUCAAAAUAGGCAGAGGGAGGGUUGCCAUUUUCCAUAUAGUUUAGGCCAUAAUUGUGAUUUACUUGGAAGUCAGACUUUGUGCUCUUUAGCAACCCCAGGAUCCCAGAAUGCCCAACUGGAUUAAUAAUAAUUAAUAAUACGCUCUAUUAUUACAAAUAUAAAAAUCUUUGACACAAACUUUAUCCAUUUAAACUGUAACAACAGAAGUCCAUCUCCUUUAUAACACCCUUGGCAGAGACUCUGACAUCCCUAGACCACACUGGUCCUUCGAGCUCCAACAGAGGGUUCCUGUACCACUGGGACCUGGUCAGAGCCAUUGCCCAAAUGGCUACUGCUUCCCUGGCUAGAUAGAUGUUCUGGGGAGGUGAACCAUUUCAGGGUUCCACUGAAAUGUGUUCCUUAUUUCUUGGGUCAAGCCAUUCCCUUCCUGCAGCCUCUGGACUUUCCCGGGCUUAUAUGGUUGAAGGGAGAAGAGCAGGUAGGAAGACAGCUUAGCAGUUGAUUGCUUGUCACGAAUUCCCAGGAGUCUGGUCAGGGUGAGGGACUUUGUCCCUUCCUUCCAUCCUGCACGUUUAUCCUACGGCAUGGACCUGCCAACAACUUCCGUCCCAGUGCUGUGUCCAUGGGCCACCUCGUUCCUACUUUUCCCACACUCAGAGCUAGUAGUCCCAGGGAGCUGACUGGUGACAUCGGACUCUCUGGGCAGGCUGGCAGCCAUCCUCUUAUACUUUUAAGGAAGAGCCAACAAGAUUAUUGGGUAUGGAGUGCUUUAUCAUUUCUAGAACCCCGUAUAAAAUUUUGUACCAUUAUUUGUUACAUAAUCCCAUCAUUUAGGCUUUUCCCCUUUGGAAGAACUACUGAAAUAGAACCAAUUAUUAAUACAAUUUCUAAUUAUGCAUUAUAAAGUAUGGAUGCAAUUGCCAGCGUGCACCAUAUUAUUAUGCUCCAGAAGGCUGGAAUGAGCUCACUGUCACAAGAGAGACUGAAAAAAAUCUUACAUUCUUAGAGAGCCAAGGACUUGUGUCAUGGGGACCCCAGGUUGAGCUAAAUGACUUCAGAGGGAGGACUCCUGCUGACCUGGUCAAUCCUUCAUGUAGAAUGAAUACUAAUUCUACAUGAAAACAAACAAACAACAAAACCACCAACCAAUUUUUCAUGGAGAGUGUUAAUUUUGUAGGGCAGCUUGCUUUCCAGCAGUAUCAUUCAGAGUCUUCCAGGAAUACUGUGGUCUUUCCCUUGAAGGCACAGGAGGGACACACAGUGAGCCAUGUGUGUUACCCUCUAAGGCCAGCUUGUCCCCUCGCUGAGACUUGAAUUAAAUUUGAGUGAUGUUUGUUGUGUGCCAGGUUUCUGCUAGGCUCCAGGGAAGAUAUGGAAAUAAAUAAUGACAGUUCCUGCCUUUGGGGAGUUGGCUGUCUAGUAAGGGACACAGGAUGUAUCCGGAAAUGGUUUUAACAGAAUUAAAAAGCACUUCAGGAUCAGUGGCUGGGGUAAUAGGGGAGGCGUGGGUGGCUGAUUAGUUUUAAUUAGAAGGUUUGGAAAAGUCUUUCUAGAGGAAGAUGCAUUUAGGGUGGGCCUAGGAGGAAGCUAGGACUUCAGAAGGUAGGUUGGAGUGAGGUGCGAAGGGGAACCCCAGGAAAGGAAGGUGUUAGCAAGGAAAAGGCCCGGAAAACUGUGGUGUAUUUGGUGAAUGGUGAGCAGGGAUUUUGGGGGACAUAGAAGAGGCACACCACUUCCUGGCUGCAGGGUGUCUUGUGGGCGUGGAGUUAGCCCAUUACUCAUCGCUCCAGGCUGGGUUCUGUUCUGUGUGCUGGGGAUUGUAAAGAGAAAUGCUUUUCAAUCCUGUCUUUAAAGAGCCUAUGGUUUAGUUGUGGCAGACAGAGAGCUAAAGAGUGAUGAGACUAUAAUUGGUUAAAUCCUCUAAUAGAAUCAUAAGACCCUAAUGGGAUAAAUACUUAUCUUUAUGAUAGAGAUGAGGUCAGAGGAGGAAGUAACCAUUCCGAUCUGGGAGAGAGUGUCACGGAAAACUGAGGACAAAGGCCACCUUUGCAUGACGCAGGGGCAGAGACAAUGGUUCUCCUUAUCUUUCUUUGACAUUUUAUUCCCCACUUUUGUCUUUUUAAAAUAGAUUUUUAUUUCAUUUGAAUAUAUUAUAUCAUUUUGCUCCUUUUCCUCACCCAAUUAAUGCCACCAAAUUCAUGGCCUCUUCUUUAACCAUUGUUGUACAUAUGCUAUAAAUGAAUCAAUGUAGAACUACAACUUGCUGAGCCCAUUCAGUGUUGCCUGCAUAUACACGCUUCUAGGGCUGACCACUUAUUGAUGGAUAACCACUCAAGGGGCUCAUCCCUGGAGAAAACUAACUCUACCUCACCUACCAGUUGUUAAUUGUCAAUCUCUUCUACAGGUGGGGUCCCCAUGAUCUUUUCUCCAUCUAUGCAGGUACUUUACCACAGCAGUGGGAAGACUAAAUUUUCUUCCUCUUUCAUUCCCUUCGUCUGCCACUUCCUAUUGGUUCUGUUCCUCUGGGAUGCUCUAGAUCACAAAAGACCCAGGAAGCCUGAGGAAGUCUGAUGCUGAAGAGUUGUUUGCUUUGUUUUGGAGUCCUACCUGGGGACCGGGUUGUUCCAGCACUGGCCCUCUCAACCCUCUUAGCAGGUGACAAGUAAGUGCUGGUCCACAGAAACUGUGACUGUGGGAAGUGAGGCCUUAGUGCACAGACCUGCACAUCAUAGUCACCGUGGCACCUUCCUGUCAGUUCCUCUGAGCACUGUGCUCAGAAAGCAUGGUGCUAGGGCUCUGGUCUUGCCUGUCACCAUCUCCAUACCUAUGGACCACACAGUGAACAAGGCAGUGGAGCAACAGACAGCAGCAUGGAGGGCUACAUUUGUACACAAAGACUUGAAAGCAGGCUGAAGGACCCAUGGAGAUUUUACACACACACACACACACACACACACACACACACACACACACACACACACACCUAGCCAUCCAUCUCUUUCUAUCUCUGUCUGUCUAUCUCCCUAGACCAUCCAUAUGCUCUGUGUUCAUCUGAGUUCAUGAUAGUUGGCUCCACCUUAGGGCCAUUGCCUGGAGUUUGUAGGGACACAUUGUAGGUGACAUUUUUGGUUUGUUUUUAAAGUGAGGUCAUAUGAAUCCCACCUUGGCCUCAAACUCACUAUGUAGAUGAGGAUGGUGUUGAACUUCUGAUCCUUUUGCCUCCUUCUUAAGUGCUACAGUUAUAGGCAUGCACAAUCACAUUGGAUUUUAUGCACUGCCGGGGAUAGAAGUGUGUGUGUGUGUCUGUGUGCCUGUGUGUCUGUGUGUCUCUGUGUGUGUGUCUGAAACCUGAAGUUUUGGCUGGUUAGAGAAUUCCUGGGAUUCACUUAUCUCUGCUGUCCAGCACUGGGGUUAUAGCACGUGUGGCAAUGCUCAGCUUUUACCUGUGUGCUGGGGAUUUAAACAAAAGUAUUUGUCCUUUUGUUUUCAAGGCAAACAAGUGCUCCUACCCACUGGGCUAUCUUUCCAGCCUGAACCCAGUGCUUUGUGCGUGGCAGGCAAGCCCUCUCUAACAGAGCUAUAUCGCCAGCCACAAUUUGGUGACCUUUAACUAUAGGACAACACCCUUGUCAGGGCCUGAUUGCUUUCUUACUGUCAAUGGAGAAUUUAUCCUUUCAAAGAGGCAUUUUGGGAUGAAGCCUAGGGGCUGGAUGCAGGGGCUUCGACCUAUGUGCUAGUUACAGCCUAGUUAAUUGUAGGGUACUGGAGCAUCGGAGGUUCUUCUUGUCCUGGUGUCCCAGUGCAAACUUUGUAUGGCGAGAUCUGCUGUCACCUCCACACAUGUGGUUUGUGACCUGCUCCUUCUGAGAAGACUGCGAGUAAGGGGAGACCUGCUGUAGUGAACUUGAAACUAUUUUCCACCUGGAGUGAGAGAGAGAGUAGACUCCAGAGAAGGAAAAUGAGCAAAUGAACACUUACUGGUUUGGAUUUUUGGUAUGCAGGUCCUAUACCGGUGCAAGAAGAGGGUGUCUAUGCUCACAAACAUUUAUGCAUACACAUGUGAAUGUAAGGAGUGGGGCAGGGGAGGAAAUGACUCCAGCUUGCCUUGGGCACAUAAGGCAAGGUCUCCUCUGGCUGUCCUCCAUAAGCAACCCGCUUCUGCAUGCAUGCAGGAGAGGGUCACCCGGCCUGCGCAUCAGAGGAAGAAUUCUCCUGUCUGGCUGGAGAGGAGACAGUGCAUGAAAAAUGGUGGCAAAAGGUCAGGAGGCGAAGGCAAGUGAGAAACACUUUCAUCUAUUAUCCGGGGUCAACGGGCUCCCUCCCAUCAGGGAACCUUGAGGCCCAAUGAAUGGCCCAUUGCGGGAGGUGCGGUAUUGUGUGCACCAGGAGCCUCACAUCACAAUCCCCAGCCUGGGACAAUAGCGCCUAAGAAAGUGGUGGGUGGCUCGCCUCGCCUCCCAGGGGCCUGCCUCUUCUUAUCAAAGGCCUUUCACCGCAACGCCCCAGCCUGCUUGGGAAGAGGCAGUGUUUGUCCAAUAACACGAAGGCGCUUCAGACUCCUUCCAAAUUCCCGGUCAUGGCGAUUAGGUCGGCGUGCAUUGAAUUUCAUCCAGAACCAGUGUGGGGUUCUCAGCUGUUGUCGCUCCCCAGAAGCUGCACAUAUUCUUUACGUUGUCUGAAGAACAACACAUUCCUGUUUAAAAUAAAGCCCAAAUCCUGCGGUGAGAAGGAGACUCGCAUUCCUUCAGAGGAUGCCUGCGGGGCUACACAUACAUCGAGCCACAGGCAGCCCUGUCUCAGUGUUGUAGGGAGCAGAUUCUGGCUCAGGCAAACCUCAGUUUCUUCCUCGACCUUUCUCAUCACAUGACCCGUGACUGUAGCAGCGAUUCUCAACCUGGUGUCAGGACUCUUAACAGAAAACACGUAUUUCCGAUACUCGUAGGAAUCCUCUAAACGUAUUAUUUUUUUCUACUUCAUUUUUGCCACGGAGUGGUGUCUCAGUUCCUAAGUCCGUUUGUAAAUAUGUGUUUUCUAAUGAUUGCGACCCACAGGUUGAGAACCACUGCUUUAGAGUCUCUGGUAAGUGUGCUGUGAGGCUGAGGAGGUGACUCGAUUAAUUGGGCUCAUUCUUGUUUCCUUUGAAAUACGAGGGGACGGAGAGGUGGUUCGGUACUUGAAGUGCUUACUGUGCAAGGACUGAAUUCAAACCCCCGGCACCCAUAAAAGGUCAGGUAUGGGAGGCAGUACGCGCCUCACUGACUAGAGACAACCCAGGAUGCCCGGCAGUCCCCGUGCUUCUUCUCAACCCAUUUUUAGAUGAAGCCUGAAAAACAGGGAGGAAGUGGCCAGGUAUGUGAUUCAAGGGUAAUCGUCAUAGCCAACACAGGGUCUAGACUCUCAGAUCUCCAAAUGGAUCAUGCAUGUCAGCCUUCAGGUUCAGCUCAGGGACAUAAGUGGGGACUCCCUUGGUAGCAGGACUUUACUGGAGGAUGCGAUUGUCUGAAAGUGGAGGGCAGGUUUUAUAUAGUGAGCACGGGGCCUUGUAAAUCACUCUCCUGAACCAUAAGUUAGUAAUUUCCUCAGCAAGCCUGUUGAGUGCCAGGCCCUGCAAAGGAACAGAAGAAAUAAACAAACAUGUAAAAUAGGACUUGGUCUCUUCCCAUGAUUGUGACAAAUGAAUAUAUAGAUGAAUACAAACAUGUAUGGUGAGCAUUAUGAAAGAGCAUCCCACAGACUCUUGGAGCGUCAGUAUCUUGAAGGAAGGAUUAUAAUAGAAUUUACUGCCAGAUCACAGGAUCAAAUCUAUAGUAGUAUAGACCUAAUCAGGCAUACAAGCAGUAUACUAGACCGGACUCUGUUACUCGAGUUCAUGUCUACCCAGAACCAGAAUAUGGCUUCAUCUAGAAAUAGCAUUUUUUUUGCAGAUAUAAUUAGUUCUAAUGAAGUCAUUUUGAUAUUUUUAUACAAAGGCAGAGUCAGAGUCUGGAGUGAGGCUGUUACAAGCCAAGGAUCUCAGCCCACCACCCCAAACCAGGAGAACCACAUGGAAUACAUUCUCCCUUAGUAUCUAUCUCCAGAGAGUGACAAUCAUUACACUUUUGGGACUUGGGCUUCCUUUAACUGUAAGAGGAUACAUUUCUUUUGUUUUAAGCCAUCAAGUUUGUUGUAAUCCAUAACAACACACAUUGUGUUUACAGGAGUAUUGCAUUGAAAGGUUGGGAUGAGAGUCAUGGAUGGAGAGCUGGGUCAGGGGUGAUCCUGAAACACUGAACAGCAAGUAUCACAGAGGAUGGGGUAAUAUGAUCAGAAAGAACUUGAGCACUUCUGCCCUGUGAGUGAUUUCUGACAGAGAUGAACAGAGCCAUGGGGGAGUGUGACAGGGAGGCAUGGGAGCAGACGGGGACAGGCUAGGAGGGUCUGAGUGCUACAUUAAGGAAUUCAGAUUUGACCCCUUCCUUGUCUCUUUUGUCAAGUCAGUGGCCUCCCUUGCAAAGCCAUGGGGUGGUAGAACAGCCGAAGCUGCCUUCUUCUCCGAGAUCUACACAGGAAAACAAGCCAUAGACACUCAGGAUCCCAGCAGAGUGCUGUGGACAAGCGCAAUGAAAAACAGAGUUUUUGAAGAGAAAAUGAAAUAGCAGAUCUCAGAACCCUUUGUUUACUUUCUUCAUAAAACAAAGGAAAAAUCAAGGUGGCUUUUUCUAUUGGGGUCAUUUCUAAUACUGCAGAAAUUUCUUUUUGUCCCAGGUAAUUGCAUUCCAUAGUAGAGUUGCUUCUUCCUGGGAUCUCUCCAGGUCCAUUCCAAUUAUGAGGAUGCCAAAGACAUUAACUCAGAAGUUUCUUUUUACUGGAGCCAAGUAAGUUGGUGGAUUCACCCCUCUUAUGGACUGGGAGGUCAGAAAACUAGCCAUGGAGAGAAGAGGGGCUGCAGACCACUAUCAGUCAUCUACCACUUACCUACGCUCCUAUCCACCUGCAGCUCACCUUGCUAUCUACCAAAAGUAAGCCUUGAUUUCUGUUUGAAUCCAGACACUCAGUCCUGUAGGGAAUGUGACAGGAAGUCAUUUCUUUUGCUUUUGAGUAGCUCCUAUCCAUCCAUCCUUCCAUCCUUCUAUCCAUCCAUCCAUCCAUCCAUCCAUCCAUCCAUCCAUCCAUCCUUCCACUUAUUCAUUCACCAUUAUAUCAUCUUUUCACAAGCCAUCAUUCCAUCCAUCCAUCCAUCCAUCCAUCCAUCCAUCCAUCCAAUCCAAAUGUCCACCACUCAACCAACCAUUUACUCAAAGAAAGUCUAGAUUUCUGUCCCAGGCUAGACACUGCUCAAGUCCUCUAGUCAAGUCAUCUCCUUUGGCCUUACAGAGAAAUUCACACCCAAGUGCUUGUGCCCAACAGAAGGGAAACGUAGAACCACUGAAUGACGUCACAGUGGUAGAGGUCUUUCACUCAUUUGCAUUGUGAGUGAAGCAGAAAGACUCAAAUACAUGGAACCAAAGCAGCUGAGGCCAUGUAAUUUCUCCAGGCAUGUCAUGGCAUUCAUAAAGUGUAGUGAGUACUAUCCUCUGUCCUUUACGGUGACAUUCAGAGGCUGAGUUAUCCUGAUGUUACCAGGCACUUAGAUCCAUAAGCCUCUGUCUCAGUUUUGUUGUAUUUCCAGGAUACUACGAAAUAAAAUUGGUAAAGGAAAAUGGAUUUACUUAUAUUUUGGCCAAACAUCUUUCCACACUGGUGGCCUUAUUAAUAUUAAGGUCAGCCAGGAUGCCUUCUUUUGUGUGGAAAAAGAUACCCCUAUGCCUCACGUUACAUUAUCUGUAAUAAUAAAACACUGCAAGAGAUUGCUGUAAUAAAGUACUGUAAAGAUGGCAUAUUUUUUCAGGGAAGAUUCUUUGGGGUCUGAAGGUGUAAGAUACUCACCCUUCUCUGCUCUGGCACAUUUAUCCCUGGGUUCAUUCCUUUGGUUGGUGGAACAGUAGGUUUUUGAAUUCUUUCUUUGGCCCACUUCACAACUCUUUUCUGCUCUCAUCUACAGCAGUUCAAAAGAUCUAACAAGUGAAGAGAGGGGCACAGGGAUUUCUUUCAGAUAUCUUAUCUCUCAUUGGGGCUCAGCAUGGUCAUGGUCACAUUGAUAUGAGGGAAUCUGGACCCUCCAGGGCUUCAGUGGCAUACACAUACAAAGUAUCUUUGCAGUAUGAGCACCAAUCCCACUGAAGGCGCCGUCUCUCAUCCCCAGACAGCUGGGUAAGGCUCAGAAAAUUUGACUGUACUCUUUUGAAAUGCCCAAGGCUCAAAUGCCUUUAGGCUAAGUGGUCCACCAAAAGGUGGGGAAUGGCUUUCAGCAGGACUCAGGAGUAGGCAGAGUUUUUUUGUUUUUUGUUUUUAAGUAACAUCCAUCCCUAUUCUGCGCUGGACCAAAUGCAUCCUAUAAGAGGCAGAGAGUUGGUAACAGAGAAAAUCCAGCAGCUCUUCUCCUCCACACACAGUCAGCCUUGGCUGCCCUCACGUGUACAGGUCUGCUCUGCCCAUUUACUCUUGUUCUAAUUCACCAGAAAAGAGUUUUUGCUUCCGUCUUCCUUGAUCACAGAUUUGCUUUCUGUUUGCUCCAUACCUUCCUCCAGGUGACAAGAAGCCAGCUGGCUGUCAUAGUCGAGUUGGAUUUCAUCACCUCGAAGCUUCUCUGAGUUACAUGGCCACUGAGGUUACUGUCCUACAAAAUAAAGUCACCACAAAGCCUCUGGACUACUUCUUUUGUGGAUUCAUGAGCUGGGGAAAGGGGUUCUCCAUUCUCUGCGUCUCGUCACACCCAUAGGUACGUGUGUCCUUGCUCCUGUGGAAGGCUAACCCUUGACAUGGUCUUUAGAGGUCUUUGGUGCUGUCUGUGUGGCUGCGACCUUGCAGAUUCUCGUUAUUCUCGUCAUCUUUCUCCUCUGCAGUCCUGGAGUGCUCACAGUGUCUUAUCCAGGCAGAGCACCUGAAAGCUGCGUAGGGUUGUUGAAAGCAGAAGUGUUGGGUCCAUGCCAGAUUACAAUGGGACGUUAACUAGCCAUUAGAAGAGCUUCGGAUUGUAGCAGCCCCUUCCCCAAGGUCCUGAAAAGUCCUUUGGCUUGAAUAGUUGGCGGAACAGGGAUGCUGUGGCAUCAGUGGGAGAAUUUGGAGGAACAGCGGGUUGGUGGUGGUGGAGGAGGAGGUGUUAUGGCUUAGGGACAUGUUUGACUUGAGAUGGCUGUUAGCUCUGCAAAGGGAGAUGUUGACAUAGGCUGUUGAUUCGUGGAGACUAGAUCAACUUGGAGAAAGAAAUCAGAGCUAUGAUGGAAAGGACAAAUUGCUUUUAAACAACCACUAUCCCAUUUUGUUUAUAAUGAGAACUACAUUUAGAUCGUAGAUUACAACUGUUAGUCUUCUGUGUAGCUAUGUGGCCAUGUAUUAACCAACACACCAUAAUAGGAAAUAUUCUAAAAAAUAGUCACCAUCUUUCCCCUUUGCCUUGAUGCUGGCUGUGAGAGCCAGUGCUAGAGUCAUCUUGGACUAGGAAGAUGAUGGCCACAUCAUAGUGACGAUGAAGAUAGAAGUCAAACAGUUUUUGUCAAUUGUGAUGCUGUCUCUGUACUUACCCCUCAAUGACUAUGUCUACUUUUAUCUACAGGACAAGAAUACAUUUUUAUCUUUUUUCUACUCUAGAUAACACCUACAAAUGAAUAUAUAAAGUUUUUAAAAAAUAUAUAUGAGUGCCUACAUGUGUGGUACAUGUGUCCCCAUAGAGGCCAGAAGGCAUGUGGUUCCCUGGAAUUAGAGUUACAGACAAUUGUAAGCCA